ACCCAGUAUGUACCUCAGUCCUCAGGUAAUGAAGGAGGCUGGACUCUCUGCUGGUGGACAUACACAGAAGUUUGCUAAGGGUACUAAGCGGAUCAAGGCUAGGGAACGUGCCCGGCGCGGCACCGUGGUGUACGCCAGCAGUUGCAUUGAGAACCGCCUUGCCCGAUCGUCCACUCAAGCUAGCCAAGAAAUACGAGAAGGCACACAGUAGAUCUAAUCAUCUGGCUGUGCUACAUCUGAUGAUUCGGUGGACAAUCAAGAAAUUCCGCAGCUAAGGUCGAGCCAUCCCUUGUCCCGUGUCUGGCAACCAUCAUUGUGUUUCACCUAGAAACAGCCGGCUUCGGAGAUUGUGAAAUCACCCAACUGGCUGCUAGCAACUUGUAUGACAAGAAGGUGUUUUUCAGGAACAUUCUGCUUACGAUACCUAUAUGGAAGGGUGCAAGUGACAUAACAGGACUUACAGUUGACAUGGUUGGCGGGAAGAAGAGUCUGCUUCUGAAUGGCAAGGAGGUGAGUUCUUGUUACUUGUCAGACGCUCAUGCAGACUUCACUAAGUGGCUGACAGAGUUCACACCUCCUCCAGUCUUGCUGGCCCGCAACUGCUUGUCAUUUGAUGCUGGCGUCAUUCUUCAUUCUUCAGUAAGCGUCUUACGAGUUGAAAUCUGCAUUCGCUGGGUUUGCUGACAGUCUGCCGGCGCUGAAGGAAGCGCGACCUGGGCUGAAGUCCUAAAGUGUAGGCACAUUGCAGCAGGAGUUGCUUCCUGAUUUGUCUUUCGGGGCCCACCACGUUGAGGGAGACGUGGAAGUCCUCACCAGCAUCAUCCGUACGGCUAUCCUCUGUCCUGCCGACCUGCUGAAGUACUCGGCUACGUUGGACAGCUUCACAGAGCGGGAUGACUACCGGUCAGCCAGCAAGGCAAGAGAGCCAUCUGGCAAGCAGAUGGCUCAGCAGGGAAAGUGCAUGUGGCCAAGUCUGCCAGGAUUCUCGAAGCUGUGCACAUUCUUUCAGCCCAGUGCCCAGUUGUUGAU